rnacentral:lncRNA from 1 species
GGGCUAUGCUAUAGGAUAUUCACUGGCCAGGUAGACCAGGCUAACUAGUUCUGUAUUUGGGGCUAUGCUAUAGGAUAUUCACUGGCCAGGUAGACCAGGCUAACUAGUCCUGUAUUUGGGGCUAUGCUAUAGGAUAUUCACUGGCCAGGUAGACCAGGCUAACUAGUCCUGUAUUUGGGGCUAUGCUAUAGGAUAUUCACUGGCCAGGUAGACCAGGCUAACUAGUUCUGUAUUUGGGGCUAUGCUAUAGGAUAUUCACUGGCCAGGUAGACCAGGCUAACUAGUUCUGUAUUUGGGGCUAUGCUAUAGGAUAUUCAUUGGCCAGGUAGACCAGGCUAACUAGUUCUGUAUUUGGGGCUAUGCUAUAGGAUAGUCAUGCUUAUGCAGAUAUCUGACAAAGCCUGACAAGGUCCUGAUCAGUACCCAGCUCAUAAAACCUGACAAGGUCCUGAUCAGUACCCAGCUCAUAAAGCCUGACAAGGUCCUGAUCAGUACCCAGCUCAUAAAACCUG